rnacentral:tRNA from 1 species
GCAUCGAUAGCCGAGCGGUAAGCGUUCGCGCUUGACAAUCGCAAGAUUCCGGUUCGAUUCUGGCUUGUUGCA